GCCUGGGUGGCUCAGUCAGUUAAGCGUCUGACUUUGGCUCAGGUCAUGAUCUCACGGUUUGUGGGUUCAAGCCUCACAUCAGGCU
rnacentral:tRNA from 1 species